GCUUGCAGGCCCCGCGUCGCCGUCGCCGCAGCUGCCCACCAUGGCGCGUCCCCGCCAGCCGCCCCAGGCAGUGUUCCUGCCGCGGCCUCGCGGCGAUGACCACCAAGAUCUACAGAGUACAACCCGUGCGCGACAGCAGCUCGGCAGUUAUCUGGGUGACUUUUGAAUAUGACGGCUCCACCAUUGUCCCCGGCGAGCAGGGAGCGUAGUACCAGCACUUCAUCCAGCAGUGCACAGAUGCCGACCAGUUGCUUGCCUUCGUGCGCUUCACCACCUGGCAUGCCAUGAGCAAGAGGUCCAAGUUCGCCCUCAUCACAUGGCUCAGUGAGAGUAUCAGCGGGCUGCAGUGCGCCAGAAUUGGGAUGGACAAGACCCUGGUGAAGGAGGUCGUAUAGAAUUUUCCUAAGAAGUUUGUGAUCAGUGAUCGGAAGGAGCUGGAGGAAGAUUUAUUUCAUCAAGAGAGAGCUGAAGAAGGUGGGCGGAGCAAACUACGAGGCUCAGACGGAGUAACCCCAGACCACCACCACCGCCCCCUCCCCCGCCGCCCCUUGUCAAAGUCAUCUGCCUGCUCCCCAGGGGGAGGGGACCGCUGGCCUCAGCUACUAGCCCACCAGCCCACGAGGGAGAAAAGAAGCCAUGAGAGGCAGCGCCCGCCACCCUGUGUCAGCAGCCCCCACCUUCCUGCUUCCCUUACAACCCUGCUGUGUCCUAUCUUGUGAUGCUCAUGGAACCUCUUUCUUUGUUCUUCUUUUUCUUUUCUCCUCUUCUUUUUUGUUCUAAAGAAAAAUCAUUCUGAUGCAAGGUCCUGGAGGUGCCUCCUGCAGUGACCCCUUUUCCUGGCAUUUCUCUUACAUGCAACAAGGUGUUCCUAGUGGGAUCUGCAUGACCUCACGUUGCUUUCUGAGCCCGGGGCAUGUUUUGCCAUCUCAGUUUUCUUGGGCCCCGUUUCCUGUAUACCAACUGAGGGGCAGCUGGGCCAGGAGCUGCGCCUGGUGCCUGCAGCCUUCAUAAGCACACUCAUCCAUUCCGUAGUCAGGCCCAAACCUGGAAUCUGCCCCAGGCUCCCUCAUCCCGCCUCCAUCCAGUAGCCUAAUCUGCAUGUCAGCAGAGGCAGGAUUGCUUCAUGGUGAGGUUAGAUCUGGCUCAGACUGCAUAAGAAGAGAUAAAAUUUGCCUUAAAACUUGCCUGGCAGUAGCUUUGCUGCAUGACCUGAAACCACCAGUUCCCACACUCUUGACCAAAAUUUCCUUGUGACACAGAGAAGGGCAAAGAUCUGAGCCCAGAGUUAACAGAGAGAGUAUUUCAGGUUUACUUCAAGGGCCCCCAAAGCAAUGAGGACGUUAGGGAGAGAGUCCCAGGGUGAGGACUGGAAAUUUAAGGAGAGCUGGGAAUGGAUCCCUUAGGUUCAGGAAACUUCUGUGCAAGCUUCGAGGAUGGCUUGGGCCGGAGGGCUGCUCCCAUUGCGUGCUAGCUGUGAGCUGAGCAAAGCCCUGGGGUCAUAGUACCCUGAAAGCCUGCGGCUUCAACCCUAGACCUGCACCACACAUUCAAAAGGAUCAAUUUGCUUUGUUUUUAAGAAAGAUGAGAUUGGCUUGGGUCUUCAUAAGCACGUUUUAUAUAGCUCUUUUUCUCUUUUCCCUUGCUCAUUUUGGUUUGGGGAAGAAAUUUGUACUGUGUUGGGAUUGUGAAGAACAUCUCUGCACUCAAACAGUUUACAGAAAUAAAUUGUUUUUGUAAAAAAAUUUUUUAAAA